UGAAAUUAUACUAUAUAUUAAAUUUGUUGCUCCUUAUCUACAGUAUAUUAGUUUCUUUUUGACAAAUCUUCCCUUUCUAUUAUCAUGUUGUUGUCUUUCUUUCUUUCAAAAUUGUCUAUUGUUUUAUUCCCAAUUGAACAGUACCUUUUGGACCCCUCCUGUUCUCGAUAAUUCCUCCACCCCCUCUACCAACCUUAACCUUCUCUAUCUUCAACCGAUAAAAGACUGCAUACGUGUUCUCUUCUCAGACAACCCGCUGACAUUUGUUUUCAUCCUUCGCACCGCCUACUAUACCCAAUUCAGUUUCUCCCCCUAAUCGGUGCUCCAGGUAAAAUUUUUCUCUAUCCACCGUCAUCGACUCUUCCCCCUCACUGUCUCUACAAACCACCGCCAUCAACUCUUCCUUAUGGCCAUAGCGAUGCCGGCCACACCAAACGUUGGCGAGUCCGCCUCUGUUCAUGGAGGAAGCACCAUGACGACCCUAAACGACCAUUAUGUGCUCAUAACGACUCCCUUUUUAUGUUCAUACAUCAUCUAUCACCGCUUGGAAUUCGAGGAAUUCUUCAUCUUCUAUUUUUCUUCAUCCAGACGAAUAUCCCUGAUUCGAUUCACUCUUUCAGUUGGUGGGGCUGAUUCCAGACCAGAUGAACGUUCAUCUUCUUCGUUUCGUCGCCUUCCAUAGAUAGCCUUGCAAAGAAAUGCUUCAGCUUCCGAUUAUUGCUCCUUCUACCCCUUUUGACUCUCCGGUCGUCGAUUUUCUAUCAUCACCUCCGGCUAGAAGUCAUCGCCUCCUGAGGAAAACCUCCGGUUUUGCUUUACCUCACCUCACCGACAUGGAAGAAACCACCUUCUCCUUCUCUUUCUCAGGUACGAAAUCGAUUUCCUAACACUUCAACUAUGAAAACGAUUUCCUACUACCUGAAAUCAAUUUUAUUGCCCUUCAUCUUCAACACCACCGAUUCAGUCAAAGCGAUCGAUUCUAUCUCCUUCUACCACUUCCCUACUUUUCGUUCCUAUCGAUGUGCGUCUUUGGUAUUUUGGUUGUGUGAUGUUCUAUUGGUUUCCUAAACCUUCUCAUGCGUUGUGUUUUCUGCUCCAGAUCUGAAAUCGAUGGGAACCGGGUGAAACCCUUUGUCGGCUUCCAAAAUCGAACCCUCGAUUUCCCGUUUUUCUUAUACAUUUUACGUAUACUUUGAAAUCAAACAGUAUCCUACUCCCCUGCUUCUAUUCGUUCAUAGACCCCAUUCAGAAUUUUGGAUGACAACGAAGAAAAGUCAACAUAUUGGCUUUGAAGAGGCACUUCCAAAUGGAACCAAAAUGAGGCAUGAUUUCGUUCUUCCAAUUAAUUACUACACCCUUCAGUUUAGUUCAGCCUAUUCAGUUGAUUCAAGAAUUCAUUUACCUCAGUUACUAACAUAUUCUUAAGAGGUAGCAUACGACCUGAAGAUACCUCUUGAUUUCACUAAUGAAUGCUUUCCACCAAUCGAUCCCUAAAUCAAUUGAAAAAGUUUAUGAGGUCUUGGCAUGAAAUUGGAUUUAGGUUUGACUUAUUUAGAUUCUAAUGGUGAUUCUGAAGUUAUUACGAUAUCAUCGUUACAAUCACAGCCAUAUUUUUCAAUUUAUUGGCUUUAAAUUAUGAUAGUAUUGUUAAUUCUUCCUUUCUUUGUUGGUGUUGGUCUAGGGUAUGUCUAUGUGUUAUUAUCAUGGUAACUCGGCUUUGUUCUUACUCUAAAAAUAGGGGCUUCGAUGAUUGCUUUCACAAUAUUCUGGGCAGCUGGGCAGUUUAUAAACUUUUAUAUGAGGGAUAUGAGUUGUUACAUCAAAGGCAUCCAUACAUCUAGUAACUUUUUAUUACUCAAAAUUUGGAACUUAGUGUUAAACUUCCAUGAAGUAACAUGAAAGAAGUUGCUGAGAAGGAAGCCAAGAAGAAGCUCAAGGUAUGGAAUGGAAUCAUUGAUUCCAUUAGAAUAAAAAAAACAUUUUUUUGUUGGAUGGAAUUAUAGUAACCAUUCCUUCACCAAAAUUUGGCUCACUGUGAACCACACCAAUAGGAGCCUAACCAACUCACACACUCACACACCGAACUGUCGGAUUGUACCAGUCGAGAUUUUAGAAGUAUUAUCGGUUUAGAACCAGCUUAUUAGGAAUCGGUUUGUAGACCAGGUUUAGUCAAUGUACUUUUUAUUAUCCUUUCUUCUGUUUUUAUGUGUUUUUAUGCAGGUCCUGAUGGUGAAGUCAUCUUCCAACAAAAGGUUUCUUGCUGUUAUUAGCAUUUGCUGUGAUUGACAUUGUUUUCGCUGAAAACGUCAUUGCAUUUCACUCAGUGUAAAAUUCACUAAGUUGACUUACCCGAGUCAUAAUGUAUAAUUAUAAGUAGAUUAAAUUACAAAAAUGAUCCUUGCAUUUACCUUAA